rnacentral:tRNA from 1 species
GCUGGUGUGGCUCAGUGGAUAGAGCGUCGGCCUGUGGACUGAAGGGUCCCAGGUUCGAUUCCUGGUCAAGGGCA